rnacentral:rRNA from 1 species
UACGUAGGGGGCAAGCGUUAUCCGGAUUUACUGGGUGUAAAGGGAGCGUAGGCGGACUGUUAAGUCAGCGGUAAAAGCCCGGGGCUCAACCCCGGCGAGCCGUUGAAACUGGCUGUCUUGAGAUGUCGAGAGGUAUGCGGAAUGCGCAGUGUAGCGGUGAAAUGCUUAGAUAUUGCGCAGAACUCCGAUUGCGAAGGCAGCAUACCGGCUCCACACUGACGCUGAGGCACGAAAGCGUGGGUAUCGAACAGG